rnacentral:sRNA from 1 species
GCCGGGCGGGUGGCCCCUGCCUGUCAUCCCAGCGGCUCAGGAGGCUGAGGCAGGAGGAUCGCAAGGUGGAGGCCGGCCUCAACAACAGCAAGGCCCUGAGCAACUCAGCGAGACCCUGUCUCUA